CCUACGGGUGACAGCAGUGAGGAAUAUUGGUCAAUGGGCGAGAGCCUGAACCAGCCAAGUCGCGUGAGGGAGUACUGCCCUAUGGGUUGUAAACCUCUUUUGUCGGGGAGCAAAAGCCGGACGUGUCCGGCUGUGAGAGUACCCGAAGAAAAAGCAUCGGCUAACUCCGUGCCAGCAGCCGCGGUAAUACGGAGGAUGCGAGCGUUAUCCGGAUUUAUUGGGUUAAAAGGGUGCGCAGGCGGAUUUUUAAGUCAGCGGUAAAAUCGUGGGGCUCAACCCCAUCCAGCCGUUGAAACUGGGGAUCUAGAGUGUGCGAGAGGUAUGCGGAAUGCGUGGUGUAGCGGUGAAAUGCAUAGAUAUCACGCAGAACCCCGAUUGCGAAGGCAGCAUACCGGUGCACAACUGACGCUCAGGCACGAAAGCGUGGGUAUCGAACAGGAUUAGAUACCCUGGUAGUC
rnacentral:rRNA from 1 species